UACAUGCAAGUCGAGCGGACAGAUGGGAGCUUGCUCCCUGAUGUUAGCGGCGGACGGGUGAGUAACACGUGGGUAACCUGCCUGUAAGACUGGGAUAACUCCGGGAAACCGGGGCUAAUACCGGAUGCUUGAUUGAACCGCAUGGUUCAAAUAUAAAAGGUGGCUUCUACUACCACUUACCGAUGGACCCCCCGCCCAAUAACUAAUUGGUGAAGUAACCGCUCACCCAAGCCACCAUUCCUAACCCAACUGAAAAGGUGAUCCGCCACACUGGGACUGAAACACCGCCCAAAAUCCUACCGGAGGCAACAAUAAGGAAUCCUCCGCAAUGGACCAAAGUCUGACCGAACAACCCCCCCUGAGUGAUGAAAGUUUUCCGAACCUAAAACUCUGUUGGUAAGGAAAAACCAGUGCCCUUCCAAUAAGGCGGCACCUUGACCGUACCUAACCCGAAAGCCACCGCUAACUACCUGCCCACAACCCCCGUAAUACCUAAGUGGCAAGCGUUGUCCGGAAUUAUUGGGCGUAAAAGGCUCCCAAGCCGUUUCCUAAAUCUGAAGUGAAAACCCCCCGCUCAACCCGGGAAGGUCAUUGG
rnacentral:rRNA from 1 species